GAUGAACGCUGGCGGCGUGCCUAAUACAUGCAAGUCGAGCGAACGGACGCGAAGCUUGCUUUUCUGAUGUUAGCGGCGGACGGGUGAGUAACACGUGGAUAACCUACCUAUAAGACUGGGAUAACUUCGGGAAACCGGAGCUAAUACCGGAUAAUAUUUUGAACCGCAUGGUUCAAAAGUGAAAGACGGUCUUGCUGUCACUUAUAGAUGGAUCCGCGCUGCAUUAGCUAGUUGGUAAGGUAACGGCUUACCAAGGCAACGAUGCAUAGACGACCUGAGAGGGUGAUAGGCCACACUGGAACUGAGACACGGACAAGACUCCUACGGGAGGCAGCAGUAGGGAAUCUGACGCAGUGGGCGAAAGCCUGACGGAGCAACGGCGAGUGAGUGAUGAAGGUCUUCGGUUCGUAAAACUCUGUUAUGAGGGAAGAACAGAUGUGUACGUAGCUGUGCAGAUCUUGACGGUACCUAAUCAGAAAGCCACGGCUAACUACGUG
rnacentral:rRNA from 1 species